rnacentral:lncRNA from 1 species
UCCUUGAGAUGCAACAUGAGUGUUGGAAUGUCCCCUGUUAUCGAGCAUUCUGAUCCCGCGUAAGGACAGUGGUAAGGCCUAAAUUUGCAACGUCUUUCGUGUUUGAGCUUUCGAUGGUAAGGUAAUAUUUUGUGACAGCCAAGAUUUUGAUAUCUGCAGGGCAAUUCCAGUGACUCUGCUACUUUCUCUAAGGCUAAACACCUUAUGUUUCCAAGUUCAACUUGGCAAGUUGGACAGCAAUUUUGUGCUUCAAUUUUGCAGUUUGUGCAUAGUGUAUGACCAUUUGGACACUACAAAGAUUGUGUAUAUACUGAAUGUGAGAUGAAAAGAAUCAAAUAAAGAAUGAAAGGUAGAGUUACUCGAUAUAUGUGCUGGUGGUUAGUAUUUGAUGGAAUAGUCGAGGUGUACACAAUAACGUGAUCCACAAACUGACAUGUGACAAUCAACCUUUAUUUAGGAAUAGAGAGGGGAAACAUAGCAUGUCACAAGAGCGAGACGAGGUUUUGGAACCCGAAAGUGAGAGGGGCGCCUCGCGAGCUGGGCUUUUAGUGAUGAGGCCUUUUAAUUUCGGAUUAUUAAACCCUACAACUGAUGAGAAGGUCCUACGGAGUAAAGGGUAGUGUAUAUGUUGUCCCUACCUUCCAAAGGUACCUAAACUACGGGCCAACACAAUAGAGAGACGGCCCGGCCCGAACACCACCACCACCAUUAAGAAAAUAACACUAUAAAGAAUUUAUUGUCAGUUAUGUUGUUCACUCUCCAAAUUAAAAAAAAAUUGUCACACCUAUGUUUGAUCCUUUAAAAGACAAUAUUUUUUAAAAGUACGAGCAACAUAGUUAACCAGUUACAUCAUAUGUAAACUAACAACAACAAUAGGAUUCUUAUCAUCUAUCCUAGCCUUGGUGGACAGAGUUACGUGGUACCUAUUGCUGAUAGGAGGUGACAAGUAUUCCAUGAAAUUAGACGAGGUACACGAAACCUAGCCCGGACCACUAUCAUAAAAAUAAAUAGAAGGAGUUGUAUUUACCUGGUAAAAUGGAGGAUACAUGGACCUUUUACAAAUUGGACACUCAAGCAACUCAUGGAUUGAACACUUUUGAAACUUUUCACCAAUACAUGUAAUACUUUUCUCAAGCUCAUCAUGUGUCUUUGUUGUAUCAAAUCUUGAAUUUUUUUGCCAUGAUUCUACAAGUUCUUUGCAACUACUAACACCACCACCAGGAGCCAUAUUUUGUAAAAAAAAAAAAAGUAGAUGAUAUUUCUGAGUCCAUAGAAGGUACUUUGUGCGGAGACUUUACCCGUAUGUUCGACUUUACCAAAUAUCUGAAUCGUCAAAUCUCUCUAUAACAACAUUGUUUGUAUGGAUAUUCUUGGUUGCUAUCACAAAAUGCUAUCAUCGAAAACAUAUAAUAUAAUAUAACAUGAAAAACCAGUUCCAAAAAAAGAGACAGUUUUAGUAAAAAAUGUUGUUAGAAUAUAAAGGAUUAUUGUUAUAGUGAGGUCUGAUUAGUUACAAUCGAGGUUCAUAGUUUUUGUUGAGUUAUCGGGUUGGGGAAGGGGAAAGGACUAAAUUGACCCUUUUUCGGGAUUGAAAAAAGCCGAUGCUUGUUUCCCAAAUACCGUCAUUGCUUAUUGACCAUUUCUUUUAUAAAGAGAACUUGGCUGAAAAAUUCAACUUUUUAGACAGAAAUGAAAGGUUAGAAUGACAUAUUUUUUCAAAUGAAUAAAUCAAAACUUUAUUUCAUUCAAAUUAGUACUAGUAUCUUUUACAUCAUUCAAAUUGGAGUACUAUGACCUCCAACUUACAUGUUUUGGUUUGUGUUUGGUACGGGGAAAAACGUCUCCCCCCAUACCAAACACAUCCAUUCUCUUCUGAAGAGUUGACACUAUACAAUUGCCUAGGCAAUGUUAACUAGUCGAAUGCUCCUUCCAUAUACGACCUAUAACCUUCAACGUUAGCUCUUCUCCGUUCCCACCUGAGAAGAAAAAUGCUAAGGUUCUCGGAAUAAUAAGUCCAUCUUGACAAUCGCGGAUUUUUCUAUGACUGUCUCUUAUACUCCUAGGAACACCUUGCCAUGUUAACUUACGGCCAAAACCACCAACUUCUAGACUAUAGUUGAACAUUUUCGCCUCGUUGUCCUCUCCCAUGAAUCGUAGAAAUGCUAUGUAUACCGGUGUCAUACCUAGUGAAAACGCCUCAAAAUGUAAGACGAAUUGCCUUCCAAAACAGUCGAAAACCUGCAUUUGAUUGAAAUAUGUUAGUGUACAAUCAGAGAACCAUAACAUAAGAGAUGUGAAUCCGUCUAUCCAACAAAAAAUGGACUCAAAAAAGUCCAUUUUCGAGUACUUCCUUAUUUAGGCAACGCUUUUCAACAACUAAGAGAUCAAUUUGAGGAACAUUGAGCCUUAUUUAGGACAGAAAAUUUGGUAAAAACAAAAGAAAAUACUCUGUUUCAACUUACUGUUAGCAUCCAUAUUGCAUUGUCAACUUGUUGUGCAUUUGAUUUAACGUAUCGAUGAUUGAACGUGCAUCCUGUAUGCAUAUCAACUUUGUGAUCCUCCUUGAGAUGCAACAUGAGUGUUGGAAUGUCCCCUGUUAUCGAGCAUUCUGAUCCCGCGUAAGGACAGUGGUAAGGCCUAAAUUUGCAACGUCUUUCGUGUUUGAGCUUUCGAUGGUAAGGUAAUAUUUUGUGACAGCCAAGAUUUUGAUAUCUGCAGGGCAAUUCCAGUGACUCUGCUACUUUCUCUAAGGCUAAACACCUUAUGUUUCCAAGUUCAACUUGGCAAGUUGGACAGCAAUUUUGUG